GUCACCAUUACCGCGUUGUCACGUUCCCUCUCUGCGACCCCCACGGUGCACGGCGAACCCACACACAACAACGCAAAGUUCAAAAAUGCCUCCAGUGACAAGCGCGGGCCCUCGCGUCUCAACAGCGUACGGAGGGGCUGGUUCACGCCGUCACAAAAAAUCUCAAUUAUUACACAGUCCGGGAGAGUGGAAUAGUUUGAAAUUGAAAUAAACUCACGGGCAUACUGUUCGAGUGUGUGGGAUCUCUGUUUGAUUCUGCAUAGAAUUCUGUCUGUGUCCGCAUCGAUUGAUUGUCCGGGGGUGAAGCUGCUGGAUCCUGUAGCGACGGAUUGUUCUGUUACAGUGGGAAGGAGACGAGAGGCGAACGGAUCCACUUGCAAGCUUUUAUUAAUGGGGCGAGACAGAUACAUGGUGAAAGCAGGCAGGGUCAGACAAACAAGCAAAGAGGAAUAACGAAGGCUAGGCACAAGAGUAGUCCGUUUAACAGUCCUUGAUAAUCCAGAGGCGAACGAAAUCCGUGAAAGGGAGAGACCAGAGAAUAAUCCAAUAAUCCGAAAUAAGAGUCCAAUAGGUAGGCAGCAGACGAACGCAAAACGAGAUGGCCAGGCAGGAGCGUUAACAUAGGGAACAAAGGAAACUAGGAGACUUGGAAACACUAACUAUAACAAUCACAACAAUCCGUGAAGUGCACUGGGAAGGUCCGGGGUUUUUAUACAGUCUCUGAUUGGACGCAGGUGACAUGAGUGGUGGCUGAUGGGUAAUGAAGUCCGGGGUGGAAUGCAACAGACUGUGUGUGUAAGUAGAGUGAGGGCGACAUCUGGUGGUGAGCGGUCCGCAGCUCACCGACCAGAUCCGUAACAGGACCAGAUAAAACUUGAGACAGAAAAGGACGAAAUAAUGAAAGAACGGAAGGUUCUGAAGGAAAAAAAUGACUGUCCUGUAAGAAUUAGAGACUACUGGGCUUGCAGAUCAGAACUCACAGUUGUAGAUGGCAUUAUCUGCAAAGGCAGUAAAUUUGUCAUCCCAAUGAGCCUAAGGAAAGAAAUGCUGAAAAAAAAUUCAUGAAAGACACCUGGGAGAAGAAAAGUGCAAAAGGAGAACUAGGGAAGUGAUGUACUGGCCCAGGAUUAAUCCGGACAUUUCGCAGUUGACAGCGGCAUGAAGUGUAGUUGGGCUAAUAAUUAUAAAAUGCUGUGUUUGAAGUGAACUUCAUCAAAACUUAUUUCCUUUGUGUUUUAUAUUUAUUGUUUUCUGAGUUAUAAGGUACAAUGGACGUCAUUUACUCUACAUGGAACCAUAUAUGCAGAAUUUUGUGUUAUGAAGAGCACGUAUUAGUGACGCACAUGAUACCUUGUGCGGCGCUCGUUGACAGCGCUAUCUUUAGAAUCAAAUUUGCCGCUGACGGGGUCAGAUGUAUUCUCUCUCGCUCUGCUAACGAGAGCCUGAGUGAAGGGGAGAGACGUGUGUCCAAAGAAUUAAUUUGUGCUCUGUUUCUGCAGAAUACAUGUGACCUCCAUCGUCAACAUCGUUUUUAUUGAAUAAAACCACAACCAGAGUAAAACUGCUACACUAGCUUUGUUUGACCUUCAGGCCCAAACAGCAGGCAGAGCCUCUUCUUCCGCAUCCUGUAACAAGUAGGCCUUACUACAAAGUUGGAGCAGAUUUAUUUGACUGUGAUGGGAAGAGUUACAUUGUGGUAACUGACCACUACUCUAAUUAUCCAGAGGUGGCCACACUGCAGUCUGCUACUAGCAAAGCGGUCAUUGCCUUCAUGAAGCCUACGUUUGCUCGCCAUGGUGUCCCCUGUGUAGUAUUUACAGACAACGGACCUCAGUUUUCCAGUAGUGAAUUCAAGAAGUUUUCUGAGGAAUGGGGUUUUCGCCAUGAUACAUCCAGUCCAAAUUACCCCAGAUCAAAUGGACUGGCGGAGUCUGCUGUAAAAAUAGUAAAAGGACUCAUGCGAAAGGCUCAUGCAGGGAGUGAAGACUUUCAUAGAAGUCUCAUGAUCUAUAGAAGUGCACCACUGGAGAACGGCUUUUCCCCAGCUCAAAUGCUCACGUGCAGAAGAAUCCGAACAAAUUUGCCCAUUAGAGAGGAUCUGCUGGACACUCCACAUGCAAGUCAAGUGAAAUGCUUUAAACAGAAACAAAAAAUCAAACAAAGGAGACUGUAUGAUAGAAAAGCGAAGCCACUGACAGCUUUGAAACCAGGAGACACUGUCAAGAUAAGAAACCUCAAUACAGGUCUAUGGUCUCAACAGGGUAAAUGGAAAAACAAGUGGCUCCAAGGUCUUAUGACAUUACGAUGGAUGGUGGAUCAACUCUGCGAUGGAACAGAAUUGAUUUAAGUCUCAAGCAAAGUAUCUCUUGAGACUGACAUACAGGAUCCAACAACUACAACUUCUGAACCAUUGAAUACAAAGACUGGAGAGGUUGCAGAGACAGUACUGAAGACACUGACUGAACAAAGACCGAAUAGAAACAUUAAACCUCCAGAAAGACUGAUUGAAGUUAUGUGAAGUUUCGAGUUGGUUUACAAGUGAUUGUUUGAUUUCUAUUAUAAGAAGGGAAUAAGGAGUACAAUCAGCUUGAAGUGAUUCAAAAUUAUAUUGCAUUUGAAUAUUUUUGUUGUUGAUGAUUGGAUUUACUAUGCAAAAUAGAGUAAAUGCUAUGUAAUUUCUUCAAUUUAUUGU